rnacentral:rRNA from 1 species
AUGUCGACGGCGGCUGCAUCUCGCCCCAGCGGCCCUGUCCUUCUAAGCCCCUUCCCCAACUACCAACCCGCCUCGCUCUCCCGUGUCAAGCUCUCCGUCGCCGGCUCGCCGGUCAAGUCCGCCCCCAAGAUCCGUCGGUCCUGCAUGUGCUCCCCGACGAACCACCCGGGCUCGUUCCGUUGCAGCCUCCACAAGGAGCGCAAGCAGGAUGCGGUCCCGGCCGUCAGCAGCAAGCAAGCCUCCCCGCCUUCGCCGCCGCCGCGCAUGGUAAACGUGCUAGCGCAACGCGUCCCCAUGGGGAGCGGGCACUGGGCACGCAAGGCGCUCGCGCCGUCCCACGCGGUGCAGCAGUUGCAGCACCGGAAGCGCGCCGACCGGUUCCGCGCCGGGCCCAGCCGGCUCUCCGGCGUCUCCAUGGCCGGCCGCCGCGCAGGCGGCAGCCAGUAA